rnacentral:rRNA from 1 species
GAUGAACGCUGGCGGCGUGCCUAAUACAUGCAAGUCGAGCGAACAGAUGAGGAGCUUGCUCCUCUGACGUUAGCGGCGGACGGGUGAGUAACACGUGGAUAACCUACCUAUAAGACUGGGAUAACUUCGGGAAACCGGAGCUAAUACCGGAUAAUAUAUUGAACCGCAUGGUUCAAUAGUGAAAGACGGUUUUGCUGUCACUUAUAGAUGGAUCCGCGCCGCAUUAGCUAGUUGGUAAGGUAACGGCUUACCAAGGCAACGAUGCGUAGCCGAGCUGAGAGGGUGAUCGGCCACACUGGAACUGAGACACGGUCCAGACUCCUACGGGAGGCAGCAGUAGGGAAUCUUCCGCAAUGGGCGAAAGCCUGACGGAGCAACGCCGCGUGAGUGAUGAAGGUCUUCGGAUCGUAAAACUCUGUUAUUAGGGAAGAACAAAUGUGUAAUUAACUAUGCACGUCUUGACGGUACCUAAUCAGAAAGCCACGGCUAACUACGUG